rnacentral:rRNA from 1 species
UGGGGAAUAUUGCACAAUGGGCGCAAGCCUGAUGCAGCCAUGCCGCGUGUGUGAAGAAGGCCUUCGGGUUGUAAAGCACUUUCAGCGGGGAGGAAGGCGAUAAGGUUAAUAACCUUGUCGAUUGACGUUACCCGCAGAAGAAGCACCGGCUAACUCCGUGCCAGCAGCCGCGGUAAUCCGGAGGGUGCAAGCGUUAAUCGGAAUUACUGGGCGUAAAGCGCACGCAGGCGGUCUGUCAAGUCGGAUGUGAAAUCCCCGGGCUCAACCUGGGAACUGCAUUCGAAACUGGCAGGCUAGAGUCUUGUAGAGGGGGGUAGAAUUCCAGGUGUAGCGGUGAAAUGCGUAGAGAUCUGGAGGAAUACCGGUGGCGAAGGCGGCCCCCUGGGCAAAGACUGACGCUCAGGUGCGAAAGCGUGGGGAGCAAACAGG